GAGUUUGAUCGUGGCUCAGGAUGAACGCUGGCGGCGUGCCUAAUACAUGCAAGUCGAGCGAACGGACGAGAAGCUUUGCUUCUCUGAUGUUAGCGGCGGACGGGUGGGUAACACGUGGGUAACCUACCUAUAAGACUGGGGAUAACUCCGGGAAACCGGGGCUAAUACCGGAUAACACAUGAAACCGCAUGGUUUCAUGAUGAAAGACGGUCUUGCUUGUCACUUAUAGAUGGAUCCGCGCUGCAUUAGCUAG
rnacentral:rRNA from 1 species